rnacentral:lncRNA from 1 species
UCCGUACGCGGGUAUUCCCCCGUCCGCGUGAAAAGUCUUGGGACGCGCAUGCGUGCUGCCAUCUGUCAAGUGCGCGGUGCGGUAUAAAGGAUGACCAGAAGCGGGAAAUUCGAAUUGGGCAAGGGGAUUCUGCUAUCUGCGUUGUGGUUGCGUUUUCAUCUGAUUAACAAGUGUCUUUUGCAGAUUUUGAAAGACGGUGCACUGUUUUCGGCGUGAAUCUGAGUUUGUGAACGUGUGCACAGCUACGUCAUGAUGUUAAAAUGUUACACAACUAGAAGUAACUUUAUAGAUUGAUAAGAAAAUAUUCGUCAUCAAUUUCUCAUGAAAGAAGCGUGUAACGAAUGAAUCCGCGAGCUGAGAGGAGUCGUUAUAGAUGUCACCCUGGUCGAAUUACGACGUUGAUCCAAGACUUUCCGCGUCGCUUGGGGGGAUACUCAGAUGACCCAGGUUCGACGGCCUUUUCCUCUCAACCGUGCACGAUCGGUAAAAAUGUUGGAUUUUACGAGCACAAAUUACAAGGACUCGACUCAUGACAAUCAUGCUCUGACAUUCGGGGGUCAAAACAAUGAAUUUCCAUAAAUCGUUACAGGACAACACUCGAUAGACAGAGAGAAAGAGACUCUUGGUGCUUCUAUCGAAUUUCGAAUGCAGAUCAGAGAAGGGUGCAAAAGAGGCUCAAGUGUAACGAAACCAUAAUAAUAAUAAUAAAUAAUAGUAAUAGU